rnacentral:rRNA from 1 species
GAUGAACGCUGGCGGCGUGCCUAAUACAUGCAAGUCGAGCGAAGCGGGGACGGGUGAGUAACACGUGGAUAACCUCCUAUAAGACUGGGUUAACUCCGGGAAACCUGAGCUAAACCCGUUAGUUAUCGUUGGAGCUGCGCUGCAUUAGCUAGUUGGUAAGGUAACGGCCUACAAAGGCAACGAUGCAUAGCCGACCUGAGAGGAUGAUCGGCCACACUGGAACUGAGACACGGUCCAGACUCCUACGGGAGGCAGCAGUAGGGAAUCUGCCGCAAGGGGCGAAAGCCUGACGGAGCAACGCCGCGUGAGUGAUGAAGGUCUUCGGAUCGUAAAACUCUGUUAUUAGGGAAGCGUUACCUAAUCAAAAAGCCACGGCUAACUACGUGCCAGCAGCCGCGGUAAUAC